CUUGGUCAUUUAGAGGAAGUAAAAGUCGUAACAAGGUCUCCGUAGGUGAACCUGCGGAGGGAUCAUUACAGAGUUCUCGCCCUCGCGGGUAGAUCUCCCACCCACUGUUAUUGUUACUGUGUUGCUUUGGCGGGCUGCUAGGCCCAGCCUGGCCGCCGGCUCCGGCUGGCGCGCGCCCGCCAGAGGCCCGAUUAAUUCUGAUUGUCAGUGUCGUCUGAGUACUAUAUAAUAGUUAAAACUUUCAACAACGGAUCUCUUGGUUCUGGCAUCGAUGAAGAACGCAGCGAAAUGCGAUAAGUAAUGCGAAUUGCAGAAUUCAGUGAGUCAUCGAAUCUUUGAACGCACAUUGCGCCCUGUGGUAUUCCGCAGGGCAUGCCUGUUCGAGCGUCAUUUCAACCCCUCAAGCUCUGCUUGGUGUUGGGCCCCGCCCGCUCGCGGCCGGCCCUAAAGACAGUGGCGGCAGCGUCUGGCUCCAAGCGUAGUACAAUUCUCGCUCUGGUGCUAGGCGGUGGCCUGCCAGAACCCCCCUUCUAUGGUUGACCUCGGAUCAGGUAGGGAUACCCGCUGAACUUAAGCAUAUCAAUAAGCGGAGGA
rnacentral:rRNA from 1 species